GUCUUUUAUAUGUUGGGGGAAACAAACAACAGGAUAACCUAAAUUUUGUCCCCAUCCCGAGCCUGCCCAUCAGACCCUCCUUGGCCUGGUGGAGUGACUUCUGAUUUGGCGUCAAGUCACCAGGCUGUGCUGAGGGGCUGUGUGAAUGGUGUGACUCACUGUUCUGUUCUCAGAGUUCGUCUGCCCCAUCUCAAGCACGGCUCCCCAUCUUGCUGGGGUCUCUGCUGGAAGACCUUCGGAAGACUUUUCAGCUGUCAAUGCCCAGGAGAGAGACGUCUGAGAAAAUGGUUUAUUUGUAUGCGAUGCAGAACAUUCUAACAUGACCAUUAUCAUGUCCACAACUGGAAACUUCGUCUGGAUCAUCUUUUUGCUUUCCUCCAACUUUACUCCUCAGGAAAGCAAAACCUUGUGAACUUUGUCUAUGCUGUUCUUGACAUAAAGAAGAACAUUGUGUUCGAGAUGUGAUCCUUGGUAUCUCAUAGCAGAAAGGAUGUAAAAACCAAGGAUUUAAACCUGCCUGCUUUCUAACCUACAAUGAAAGAGCGAAAUGCCCAUCCCGCCGGGACACUAUGUCGUGUGCUCCGGUUAUACAACAUGGUUCCUUUUUUUGUUUGUUUGCUGUUCCCACUGCAGCUGAGUUCUAGUGAAGUUAAACACACACCAUAAACAUCAAAAAUUGGAAGGAAGGAAAAUUGGUUAUGGCACAUCUCAGCUUGUGGAAAUUGUUCCUAAAAAUAACCACAGAAUGUUGGGUUAGCAGAGCGCCAAGUUGAAUGGAAGAAGCAUCAUCGUGGAAGGAUGCAACGGCAGUUCUAAGACCUCUGUCAGAAUGGCUGAGCCUCAGAGCUCUCACUGCCGAGACAUGAUGGUUGAGUGUCAGAACCCUGUCAGAACUUUCUCGUGUCCAUUUCUGUACUUUGGGCGCUGUGGGUGUCACAGGCAGUGGGGUUUCCAUCCCAGCAGAGCUGGCCUCCAGGACGCUCAGAGGCAGCCUCACUGCUCAUCUCCAGAGGUUCCACAAGAGCCCUCGAAGCCUCGCGUUUGCUUCUCUGCGCUCACCUGUCCUCUGGGCUUGUCCUCAUGGACUUCCCUUGUCGGCUCUCACUGUCACAACACCUCUGUCCUCGUGGCUUAGCCCGCACCACCUGCCACUUCAUUCUUAGCAAAUAACCUUCUCUUUCCAUGGCUCAGAAAAGGUGUGUUUUCAGACAGGCAGUGCCUCACGGUUCUGUGAGGUGGUGCCAUUUUACACGCAGGAAGAUGGGGCACAGGACAAAAGUAGCCAUGGCCAGCUCGCACAGCUUGGAGCCAGAACUUGAAGUCAGCAUCCCGUUAACUAUGACUUAAACAGAUCAGGCUGUGUCCUCAGGGCCUCAGCUACGUCAGAGGCAGUGUUUUCUCUCCCCCCCGGGCCCUCCUCAUCGCAGGGAGACUGCUGCAGCAGUUGCGUCCACGAUCAGGACUGGAGGACGGGGGAAGGGCAGGCCUGUGCUCGUCUCUCCAGUGAGGUUUCAAAGAAAAGCCUUUCCCCGAAGCUUCCAGCCGGUGCUCCUUAUGUCUCGCGGGCCAAGCCUGGGUCACAGGGCGCCGUCUAAUGCCGAGGGCGCUUGGAAAGCUAGUGUUCAGCUUCUCUAACCUCUGUGGCUGAGACCACACCCUUCAGAAGAAGGUCUGGGGAAGCAGGUAACGGAUAGGCAGCUGGCAGCACCCUCAGCCCUCCGCCUCCGGUCUCUUCUUGGAGGAGUCGCUAGUGCUCCGCACUUCCUGCUCAGAUGCCGCCACCGCCUCUCGGCUCGGCCUCUUCAUCCCCUGGAUAGUUCAGCCUGCCGGCCAGGCCCCCUUCCCUAUAAUGCUUGGUCCCCUGACAUUCGGGAACACCCCACUCUUCCAGAUCCCUUCUACCUCUCGAGGGGCUUCUUGCCCUCCCCUCCCCUCCCCUCUUAAAUGUUGGGGUCCCUGGGGUGUGGUCCCGGAGGCCCAUUGCAUGCUCCGCUCACUCCCACAUCUUGGUCUCUGAGCUUCAGGCUAGAACAGCAGCUGCAUGCUGCUGGGCAGCUCGCCUAGAUGUCCUGCAAAGUCCCAAAACACAGCCUACCUGGAGGGAAAGGCCAUUUUCCAGGCCAAACCUGUUCCUCCUCCCCUGGGCCCUUUCACGGGGAUGGUUGCUACCCCUCACCCCAUCCCUCAAGCCAGAAGAUAGAUAUCCUGUUAGUUUUACCAUCUAAACAUCUCAGCUGUCUUCAUUCCACUCCAUUCCCACUGCCACCACUGGUGCAGGAUGGCCACGAGAGGGGGAGUGACAUGACACCAAGUGGCCUGGCCACCAGAGCCCUCCCCGCUUUUGACUUUACCUCCUUACGGCCCCACCAGCGGUGUGGGGUGCAGACUCGGAAUGCUCCCACUGCCAGUGUGCUCUGAGGAGGGGAGUCCCCGCGGUAACUUCACAGCUCUGGAAAGCUUGGAAUCCAGGCCUGCGAUUGCCCCGUUCCCUCUGCCUUGGCCCGAAAAAUGGCAGCUGCCAAAGGGUCGUGUUUCCACAGUUCUCAGAGUGGACACUGGGUGGGCUGAGGCCACAGUGGCCUCACCAGGUAAGCCUGGAACAAGCUUGUCACUGUUGCCAUUUGCCGCCCUCGCCCAUGCACUGCAGAUCUUUGGGAAUUUUCCAUUUCUCUUUUCGGGUCACGUUUUCUAGGCGUCAUAUUCCUACUAAUUUCCUUACAGAUGCUUUGAAACCAAGUCAGAUAAGAAACUCCUCAGGGGAAAUUACUAUAAACUAGGGAGAAUAUAUGGUUUUAUCAGUUUGUCAAAGUAAUGCAAAUUCUUUGUAGCAAGACCUGUAAAAUGCACAAAAGUAAAAUACACAUAAGUAUGGAGGCUUAUUUAAAAUUUAAUUCCUCAUACUUCCACCUUCCAGAGAUGGUCAUUACCUAAGAUUUUGUUAAUUUUCCUUGUAAUUUUUUCUUGAAAUAUACAUGUGUGUAUACAUAGAGUAAACAUUAAAUCUUAUACACACAACAAAAAUAUUUAUGUGUAGUUAUCUUGUGUUUAGAAAAUUAGAAUCCCUUCUGUUUCUCUUGUAACAUGUACUUCUUUAUCUUGAACAUUUUCCUCUGAAAAUGGAUUUCAUAUAGCUUUUUAAAUUACCUUUCAGGAGGAUUGUAACAAUGUGACCUCCACCCAGCAUCUUACCAGCCUUGACUUUUAUCCAAAAGGGGGAGGAGGGAUUCAUACACAUUUCUGAAGGAGUAUGAAUUGAUAACAGCCUCUGCGAAGGGCACUUUGUUGGUUGCUAUCUAAAUUACAAACACUUUGUCUCAGCAAACCAGUUGCUGAUAAUGAAUCCUACAGAUAUAUUUGUACCCGUGCAAACUGUAUGUAGUUUUAACCAUGGUAUUGAUCUCAAAAGUGAAAAUUUGGAAACAACCUCAGUGUCCACCCCAUGGAACUGGCUAAGUGAUUUAUGGUGGACUGGCUGGCUUUUACACAGCCCUUAAAAUGGGGACUGUCUUUAUGAACUGUGGAAAAGAGCACCAAGAUUGUUAAGUGAAAAGGUAUAAAACAGUUUGUAUGGUGUGUUUCCAUUUGUGUAAAGAAGAAGCCAUUGCUUACACACACACACACACACACACACACACUAUAUCUGAAGGGUACAGAGUGAACAUACAUACUACUAUAUAUACUACUUGCUCUUGGAGAGGAGAAGUGAGGGGAAAAGGAUGAAUAAUUUUCACUCUAUAUCUUGAUAUUUUUGGAAUUUUGAAACAUGUAAAAGUAUUACCAGUUCAAAAAAUAAAUUUAAACAAAACCUUAAUUCUUU
ensembl:lncRNA